rnacentral:rRNA from 1 species
AUGGCUCAGGAUGAACGCUAGCUACAGGCUUAACACAUGCAAGUCGAGGGGCAGCAUUGGAGUAGCAAUACUCAGAUGGCGACCGGCGCACGGGUGAGUAACACGUAUCCAACCUGCCGCUUACUCGGGGAUAGCCUUUCGAAAGAAAGAUUAAUACCCGAUGGUGUAAAGAGUUCGCAUGUUCUCUUUAUUAAAGAAUUUCGGUAAGCGAUGGGGAUGCGUUCCAUUAGAUAGUUGGCGGGGUAACGGCCCACCAAGUCUACGAUGGAUAGGGGUUCUGAGAGGAAGGUCCCCCACAUUGGAACUGAGACACGGUCCAAACUCCUACGGGAGGCAGCAGUGAGGAAUAUUGGUCAAUGGACGAGAGUCUGAACCAGCCAAAAGUAGCGUGAAGGAUGACUGCCCUAUGGGUUGUAAACUUCUUUUAUAAGGGAAUAAAGUGAGGGACGUGUCCCUUUUUGUAUGUACCUUAUGAAUAAGGAUCGGCUAACUCCGUGCCAGCCGCCGC